CCUUCGAUAGCUCAGUUGGAAGAGCGUAAGACUGUAAUUGGUUAGGUAAUCUUAAGGUCACUGGUUCGAUCCCGGUUCGAAGGA